CUUUUGCCAGUCAUAAAACCACUAGUGAAUAAGGGGUGGGCAAGUUCUGGUGUCAGCCGCCGCGGUAAAACCAGCACCUCAAGUGGUCAGGAUGAUUAUUGGGCCUAAAGCAUCCGUAGCCGGCUCUGUAAGUUUUCGGUUAAAUCCACGUGCUCAACGCAUGGGCUGCCGAAAAUACUGCACAGCUAGGGAGUGGGAGAGGUAGACGGUACUCAAUAGGAAGGGGUAAAAUCCUCUGAUCUAUUGAUGACCACCUGUGGCGAAGGCGGUCUACCAGAACACGUUCGACGGUGAGGGAUGAAAGCUGGGGGAGCAAACCGGAUUAGAUACCCGGGUAGUCCCAGCUGUAAACGAUGCAGACUCGAUGAUGCAUUGGCAUAUAGCCAGUGCAGUGUCGCAGGGAAGCCGUUAAGUCUGCCGCCUGGGAAGUACGUACGCAAGUAUGAAACUUAAAGGAAUUGGCGGGGGAGCACCACAA
rnacentral:rRNA from 1 species